GUGAUUUUAAAACAGAACAGCAUCGAUAACACUUAUACAGAUGUAAAAAGAUUUUAGAAAAUUAUUAGCAAAGCGAUAAUUGUUAAUCUACAAAUUGCAGGUAUUAUAAUAAAACCCUGCACCAGCCAAGUAUUAAUCUGAUAAUGACUGAGUUAAAGGUGAUAAUACAGAUAAUACAGAAAAUACAGUGUUUACAUUAGAUUGCCUGCAGGGAGCUAUAGAUCAUACCUGAACAACUACAUUAAG